rnacentral:rRNA from 1 species
UGAGGAAUAUUGGUCAAUGGGCGCAAGCCUGAACCAGCCAUCCCGCGUGCAGGAAGACGGCCCUAUGGGUUGUAAACUGCUUUUCCAGGGGGAGAAACUUGCGCACGUGUUGCGCAAUUGACGGUACCCUGGGAAUAAGCAUCGGCUAACUCCGUGCCAGCAGCCGCGGUAAUACGGAGGAUGCGAGCGUUAUCCGGAUUCAUUGGGUUUAAAGGGUGCGUAGGCGGACUAUUAAGUCAGUGGUGAAAUCCUGCAGCUUAACUGCAGAACUGCCAUUGAUACUGAUAGCCUUGAGUUUGGUAAGGUAGGCGGAAUGUGUAAUGUAGCGGUGAAAUGCUUAGAUAUUACACAGAACACCAAUUGCGUAGGCAGCUUACUGAGCCGACACUGACGCUGAGGC